UACCAUGCAAGUCGAACGAUGAUCCCAGCUUGCUGGGGGAUUAGUGGCGAACGGGUGAGUAACACGUGAGUAACCUGCCCUUGACUCUGGGAUAAGCCUGGGAAACUGGGUCUAAUACCGGAUACGACCAUCUGGCGCAUGUCAUGGUGGUGGAAAGCUUUUGUGGUUUUGGAUGGACUCGCGGCCUAUCAGCUUGUUGGUGGGGUAAUGGCCUACCAAGGCGACGACGGGUAGCCGGCCUGAGAGGGUGACCGGCCACACUGGGACUGAGACACGGCCCAGACUCCUACGGGAGGCAGCAGUGGGGAAUAUUGCACAAUGGGCGCAAGCCUGAUGCAGCGACGCCGCGUGAGGGAUGACGGCCUUCGGGUUGUAAACCUCUUUCAGUAGGGAAGAAGCGAAAGUGACGGUACCUGCAGAAGAAGCGCCGGCUAACUACGUGCCAGCAGCCGCGGUAAUACGUAGGGCGCAAGCGUUAUCCGGAAUUAUUGGGCGUAAAGAGCUCGUAGGCGGUUUGUCGCGUCUGCUGUGAAAGACCGGGGCUCAACUCCGGUUCUGCAGUGGGUACGGGCAGACUAGAGUGCAGUAGGGGAGACUGGAAUUCCUGGUGUAGCGGUGAAAUGCGCAGAUAUCAGGAGGAACACCGAUGGCGAAGGCAGGUCUCUGGGCUGUAACUGACGCUGAGGAGCGAAAGCAUGGGGAGCGAACAGGAUUAGAUACCCUGGUAGUCCAUGCCGUAAACGUUGGGCACUAGGUGUGGGGGACAUUCCACGUUUUCCGCGCCGUAGCUAACGCAUUAAGUGCCCCGCCUGGGGAGUACGGCCGCAAGGCUAAAACUCAAAGGAAUUGACGGGGGCCCGCACAAGCGGCGGAGCAUGCGGAUUAAUUCGAUGCAACGCGAAGAACCUUACCAAGGCUUGACAUGAACCGGAAAGACCUGGAAACAGGUGCCCCGCUUGCGGUCGGUUUACAGGUGGUGCAUGGUUGUCGUCAGCUCGUGUCGUGAGAUGUUGGGUUAAGUCCCGCAACGAGCGCAACCCUCGUUCUAUGUUGCCAGCGCGUUAUGGCGGGGACUCAUAGGAGACUGCCGGGGUCAACUCGGAGGAAGGUGGGGACGACGUCAAAUCAUCAUGCCCCUUAUGUCUUGGGCUUCACGCAUGCUACAAUGGCCGGUACAAAGGGUUGCGAUACUGUGAGGUGGAGCUAAUCCCAAAAAGCCGGUCUCAGUUCGGAUUGGGGUCUGCAACUCGACCCCAUGAAGUCGGAGUCGCUAGUAAGAA
rnacentral:rRNA from 1 species